UUAAAUGUAAAAUUAGGAUUUCCCUUUACUAAAUGUAAAAUUUAUAGAAGGACCUAAAGUAGGACAGGUUUUGUUUUAGUAAAUAUAAAGAGUAUAAAGACCUAAAGCAGGACAGGCAGUUGCUUUACUAAGUAUAAAGACUAUGGAAUAAAGUAACUUAGGACAAGAUUUUGGUUUACUAAGUAUAAAGACUUAAAGUAGGACAGGUUUUCCUUUAGUAAAUAUAAAGAGUAUAAAGACCUAAAGCAGGACAGGCAGUUGCUUUACUAAGUAUAAAGACUAUGGAAUAAAGUAACUUAGGACAAGAUUUUGGUUUACUAAGUAUAAAGACUAGAAAGACCUAUAGGAGGACAGGGUUUUCCUUUAGUAAGUAUAAAAACUAUUAGUACCCAAAGUGGGACAGGGUUUUGCUUUAGGAAGUAUAAAGACUAUAGAAGGACCUAAUGUAUAAUAGGGUUAAUGUUACAAAGUAUAAUGACUGUAGAAUGACCUAAAAUAUGACAGGGUUUUAUUUUUUAAAGUGAAAGAUUGGACAGGUGGUUCAAAGUAAGACAGGCUUCAAUAAAGGCAAUAAGGUUGAACACCAGUAGGUGGUACAUUUUUUAAAUAUUUUCUUGUAAACCUAACAUUAGUAUUUAGGACUGGGCUAGUAUUUGUAUAAACAGGCCAAGGUAAAACCAGGAAAAUUGACCAUGAGAGUGAGAAAAAAUUUGUGUUUAGUGAAAGUAAAGAUUAGGAAGUAUUUUUUUUUUCUUUUGAAGAGCUUAAAGAAAGGAUAUCUACCCACAAGACUAGGAACAUGUAUGACUCAAGUCUGUUGGAAUAAUCAAAGGUUAAACUUAGACAUUGGUGUUGUAUCUGUGUUCAUCAGAUAAGGCAAUCAAUUAUACAGCAUUAAAUGUAAUAUUGUAUAGAGUCGUAUAUGGAAAAUAAUCAAUGAAAACAUAAAUAAAUCUUGAAAGAAAAUGUUAUGUUUUGUCAUAUAAAUAUGAAGGUUCUAUUCUCAUUUAACAUGAUUUAUUUUACUUAUGAAAAAAAUAGCACACUGUGCAUAUACAUAUCUAGCUUAUGUUUAAAUUUCGGAUCUACCUAGCAUAGUGUUGAUUUAUUAAGCACAUCUUUUGAAACCAGUAACUUGUAAUAGUCAUAGAUGCAACCCUUGUUGUAAAUUAAAAGAUAUUAAAAUCAAUUGCA